rnacentral:rRNA from 1 species
UACGUAGGCAGCGAGCGUUGUUCGGAGUUUCUGGGCGUAAAGAGUGCGUAGGCGGUUUUCUAAGUUUGGUGUGAAAUCUCCCGGCUUAACUGGGAGGGUGCGCCGAAAACUGGAAGGCUUGAGUAUGGGAGAGGUAAGCGGAAUUCCUGGUGUAGCGGUGAAAUGCGUAGAUAUCAGGAGGAACACCUGCGGUGUAGACGGCUUACUGGACCAUAACUGACGCUGAGGCACGAAAGCGUGGGUAGCAAACAGG